rnacentral:sRNA from 1 species
GGAGACGCAAGAUGGCGGCUGUGGUGCUGGCGGCGACGCGGUUGCUGCGGGGCUCGGGUUCUUGGGGCUGUUCGCGGCUGAGGUUUGGACCUCCUGCGUACAGACGGUUUAGUAGUGGUGGUGCCUAUCCCAACAUCCCCCUCUCUUCUCCUUUACCUGGAGUACCCAAACCUGUUUUUGCUACAGUUGAUGGACAGGAAAAGUUUGAAACCAAAGUGACCACAUUGGAUAAUGGGCUUCGCGUGGCAUCUCAGAAUAAGUUUGGACAGUUUUGUACAGUAGGAAUUCUCAUCAAUUCAGGAUCGAGAUAUGAAGCGAAAUACCUUAGUGGAAUUGCUCACUUUUUGGAAAAAUUGGCAUUUUCGUCUACUGCUCGAUUUGACAGCAAAGAUGAAAUUCUGCUUACGUUGGAAAAGCAUGGGGGUAUUUGUGACUGCCAGACAUCAAGAUGAAGAAGUCGAGAUGACACGGAUGACGGUCCAGUUUGAGCUGGAGGACCUGAACCUGCGGCCUGACCCAGAGCCACUUCUCACCGAGAUGAUUCAUGAAGUAAAAUGUCGAACUUGAGAAUGCCCCCGCAUCUCGAACAAUGGUCCUCAGGACACCAGGGGUGGUGGGGAGGGUGCCUCCUUGAUGUUGUCCUUGCAGGUGAUGGAUAAAUACAGAGCAUUUUUUUGUUUUUUGAGAUGAGAUUUCUCCACAUUGCCUACGCU